AAAGAGAGAGAAAGAGAGAUUUACCAUGAUUAUAGGGGUUUCUUAAUAUGAGUUUUUAAGUUAUUGAGGGAUUUAAAUCAAAACAAAAUUAAAAAGCUGUUACCGAUCCUUAAGAAAGCAUUUUGAUAACCGAUUACUAAGGGGUUUUUUACUCUACGUAUCAGCAAACCAGAGGAAAGACAUUUAUUUUUUAUUUUUUUAUUUUUUCUUGUUUUUCUCCGUCUUCUCCGAUUCUCAGCCAGACCAAUCCGAUUCUCCGCCAGACCAAGAUCGUGUCUGACGCUCCAACGAAGACCGUGUCUGCAAUCGCUGCGAUUUGUGGUGUGGACUAAGUCGGCUUUUGAGAAGGGGCAUGUGCUUUCAAGGGCUGAUGGUGAAAAUGGUGAAAAUGGUGAAAACUGUCACGUGAGAAGACUUGGAAGAAGAGCUUCGUCUGCUGGCAUCUUACAGAGGCCAAACACUGACCAAAACUGGUAUGUGGUAGUUUUUUAGCGUGGGAGGCAUGAUGUAUUACCGAAAGGCUUUGGAGCUCCAGGCCUUCCUUGAUAUGGCAAAGGAUGAAGGUGCAUCACGAAACUUUGUGAUGAUUACUUCUAAAACCUGUGUACAAAUUCUCGAGUCUGCUUUCCCCAAAAGAGAGGUUCAAGAUGUUCAAUAUGCAAUUUGAUGAGUUGCAUCAGAGACAAUCACAAUGGACAGUUCCAGACACAGAGCUAAGAGAGUCACAACGGACAGUUCCAUUCAUUAGCUUUGAGAAUUUUUCUAUUCAAGUUUGGAUUUUUUUUCAGAACUAUUCUCGAUUAUUGUACUAAUCUUUAUUUUUAUGUUUUUUUUAAUCUAUGUUAUAAAUGUUAUUUUUUAAUAUGUUUUAUUUAAUAAAUAAAAAAUUUAUUAAAAAAAAAAAAAUUAAGAACCCCUAAUUAAGAAACUCUACCGUUUAAAAUGAGAGUUUCUUAACUAGAGUUCUUAACACCACUUAAGUACAUUUAAAAUUUUUUAAUAAUCGUUAAGAAACCCACUUAAA